rnacentral:tRNA from 1 species
GCCUGGGUGGCUCAGUUGGUUGAGCAUCUGACUUCAGCUCAGGUCAUGAUCUCGUGGUCGGUGAGUUCCAGCCCCACACGGGGCU